CCACCACCCCAGCCUGUGCCCUGGAAUCAAACUGUGACCUCCUGGUUCACAGGUCAAUGCUCAACCACUGAGCUACACCGGACAGGCUAGGUUUCUGAUACGGAUGCAAAACAUGUAAAUUUUCAGCUUUUAUUCCUAAUAUGUGCAUAAAUGAGUGCACAUUUUUCAGCAUACGUUUUGGUAUGUACUGUUAUCAUUUACUUCAAAUUAUUUUCUAACUUGAAUUGUGAUGUAUUUUGGGGGUUAUUUAGAAGUGUAAUUGAUAAAUCUUAAAUAUUAGGAGUUUUUAGGUGCCUUCUGUUCCUGAUUUGUAGAUUAACUGCAAUGACAACAAGAAACGUACUGUAUAUAAUUUCAUUUCUUUGAAGUUUGUUGAAACUUGCUUCAUAGCACUGCGUGGUCUCAUCAACUAUAAUUGAAGUGUGCCCCUCUGCUGCCACCUCGUGUGCAACUUGGGAAUAACACCUUCGUGCCUUUCAGCAGUUUUGAAGAGCCGGCCUUGUGUAAUUAUUGGCUGGGACACAGCUAACUUCUGACACCGCUGAAGCCGAGAGAUCAUGGACAGCUGCCAGCAAAGCAAUGAAAAAAUAUCCUUGGGUGAGGAUUAAAAAACAAAAGAAAACAAAACCAUAACAGGUAAAACCUUUGCUCUACCCAUUGUGGCUAACUUGGUUGAGCAUCGUCCCAUGCGUCAAAAGGUCACCUGUUCAAUUCCAGGUCUGGAUACAUGCCCAGGUUGUGGGUUCAACAAAAGGCAACUGAUGAAUCUCACCGUUUGUGAUGGAUAUACCUCUCACAUGGAUGUUUCUCUCUUUUUCCCUCUGUUUUCCUAUCUCUGAAAUCAAUAAAACUGUAUUUAAAAACCCAAAUAAAUAAAACAGGUAAAACCCUUAAAACAAAGGUGUGCGUUGUUCCUCACUCCUGUGUCUUCCCUUCUCUUAUUUCCUGUUUUUACUUUGUUUCUUCUAAGCUCUAAAGGUC